AAGAUGCAUUUUGUGAUGGGUAUUUGGGUAUUUGUCUGCCAUAAUUUUGCAUAGCACAAAAUGUGCAAAAUCAUGAUACAGCAAUGAGAUGCUAAAAGAGAUUAAUGGCAGUGUGCAGCGACCCUGCGGUUAUACCUACGCUGGUUAACUUCAAUAAAAUAGCAUGGCUAUGAAUCUAACAGAUACACAAGGAAUUCAGAAAAAUACUAUGGUUGAAACAAGUCAAGUUUUUUUCUUUUUUUCCCCCUCUAUAAAGCCACUCAAACACAUUCAAGGUCAAUAAAUAACAGUGACCCCCUCUAGUAAUUGCAUCACCUCUGUCUCUGAAUUCAGAUGGUAGUUGCCAUAGGUAUGAGCACAGAUGUUAGUCAAAACUCUGAAGACCUGAGGAAAGCAUCUGGAAUGAAGAGUUGAGAGCGCUGCUACCACACCAGCCGGCGGAAGAAGGAUGUUAUCCGCAGGCUGAAGUUAAAGGCCGGAAAUCCCCGCUGAUAAUAAGCUAUGACACGUGUUCUGAGCUACGGCUUUGCUGAUGAUGAAAGAGCUAAGGAUGGAACCAUAGAGUGGGGGUAUUAAAAAAAACAUCAAAUAAAACAAUGCUUUGUGUUCCAAAUGA